rnacentral:rRNA from 1 species
UACGGGGGGGUGCGAGCGUUGUCCGGAAUCACUGGGCGUAAAGGGCGCGUAGGUGGUCUGAUAAGGGUGUGGUGAAAGUCCGGGGCUCAACCCCGGAUCUGCCGUGCCGACUGUCAGACUCGAGGACUGUAGAGGCAGGCGGAAUUCCGGGGUGUAGCGGUGGAAUGCGUAGAGAUCCGGAGGAAGACCGGUGGCGAAGGCGGCCUGCUGGGCAGUUUCUGACACUGAGGCGCGACAGCGUGGGGGAGCAAACAGG